rnacentral:lncRNA from 1 species
GUUACAAUAAGUCUCACCUCCCUUGUAGAUAGGGGGGACGGUCUACAAGGAGUGAAGGCACAACUUGGAUCUCCGUAGGCCUACGGUAGCCAACUGGGCCCAGCCCCAGCUGGUGGCCAACUAGUCACUCCCCCCUAAAGAGCCUUAGGAACAACUAGGCUUGUGGCAAGAGGAGACAUCAACAUGUCUCAUAUGACACCCCCCUAAAAUAAAUACAUGAAAAGGAAUUACAACAAAUUGUCUCGGCCAUUAUCUUCCUAUUAAUUUCUACUAUUUUAUCCCAAUAUUGCUUUCUAGGAAUUCCAAUGUUGGAAAAUUACAGUUUUGGUCCCUGAAAACUCUAUGACCCUGACACUCCCCCACUUAAACGGUCGAC